AUCCUUCUACAGGGGUGACCGUUCAUGUCAAUGAGGAGACAUCCGAGACUGAACAAUUGCUGAUUGCAAAAAACAAUCCUACCGUCGUUGUCACUUUGUGUCAACGCAAUUUCUGGAAACGCAACUUGAUUUGCC
rnacentral:snRNA from 1 species